rnacentral:rRNA from 1 species
GGUACCGCCUGCCCAGUGACUCUUUAAACGGCCGCGGUAUCCUAACCGUGCAAAGGUAGCAUAAUCACUUGUCCCAUAAAUCGGGACUAGAAUGAACGGCUAAAUGAAGACUAAACUGUCUCUUGCAGGCAGGCCAAUGAAAUUGAUUUUCCAGUACAAAAGCUGAAAUAUAACCAUAAGACGAGAAGACCCUGUGGAGCUUCAAAACCAAACCCAUCAACCAUGCUUCCUUGGAUUUUUAGUUGGGGCGACUUCGGAGCAUAAAAAAACCUCCGAAAUAUGAAAUUUAGACUGAGACCAACACACCAAAAACAAUAUCAUAAGACCCAGCAACCACCUCGUGUUGACUGACCAAUGAACCAAGUUACCCCAGGGAUAACAGCGCCAUCCCCUUCUAGAGUCCCUAUCGACAAGGGGGUUUACGACCUCGAUGUUGGAUCAGGACACCCCAAUGGUGCAGCCGCCAUUAAAGGUUCGUUUGUUCAACGAUUAAAGUCCUA